rnacentral:rRNA from 1 species
UCUAAGUAUAACCUGCCAGACAGGGAAACUGCGUACGGCUCAUUACACCAGCCUUAAUUUACUUGACCUUGACAACCUACUUGGAUAACUGUGGUAAUUCUAGAGCUAAUACAUGCACCAAAGCUCCGAUCCUCGCGGAGAGGAGCGCAUUUGUUCGCCACAAAACCAAGCGCCCAUCUGGGCGUCCAGUGCUGAACCAGAACAACUCAGCUGAUCGCACGGUCUUGUACCGGCGACGUGUCUUUCAAGUGUCUGCCUUAUCAACUUUCGAUGGUAGUGUACCUGACUACCAUGGUUGUGACGGGUAACGGAGGAUAAGGGUUCGACUCCGGAGAAGGGGCCUGAGAAAUGGCCACUACGUCUAAGGAUGGCAGCAGGCGCGCAAAUUACCCACUCUCAACGCGAGGAGGUAGUGACGAGAAAUAACGAGACCGUUCUCAUACGAGGCCGGUUAUUGGAA